rfam:Beta vulgaris subsp. vulgaris contig98271.1, whole genome shotgun sequence.
GGAGGGGAGACUGGAAUUCUCGGUGUAGCAGUGAAAUGCGUAGAUAUCGAGAGGAACACCAGUGGCGAAGGCGAGUCUCUGGACGACUCCUGACACUGAGGCACGAAAGCUAGGGGAGCAAACAGGAUUAGAUACCCUGGUAGUCCUAGCCGUAAACGGUGCCAUUUGCUGUAAAAGGAAUCGACCCCGUUUUGUGGCGAAGCUAACGCGAUAAAUGCGCCGCCUGGGAAGUACGGUCGCAAGAUUAAAACUCAAAGAAAUUGACGGGGGCCUGCACAAGCGGUGGAGUAUGUGGCUUAAUUCGAUGCAACGCGAAGAACCUUACCUGGCCUUGACAUGCAAGUAGUAGAACCAUGAAAGUGGGACGAUCCCGCAAGGGAAGCUUGCACAGGUGCUGCAUGGCUGUCGUCAGCUCGUGUCGUGAGAUGUUGGGUUAAGUCCCGCAACGAGCGCAACCCUUGUGUCCUGUUGCCACCCCUGCGAGAGCAGGGAGCACUCUGGACAGACUGCCUCGCUUAAACGAGGAGGAAGGUGGGGAUGACGUCAAGUCAGGAUGGCCCUUACGGCCAGGGCUGCACACGUACUACAAUGCCUGGUACAAAGGGACGCAAGACCGUCAGGUGGAGCAAAUCUCAUAAAACCAGGCCCAGUUCAGAUUGUUGGCUGCAACUCGCCAACAUGAAGCCGGAAUCGCUAGUAAUGGCGCAUCAGCUACGGCGCCGUGAAUACGUUCCCAGGCCUUGUACACACCGCCCGUCACAUCAUGAAAGCCGGUUGUACCCGAAGUCGCUAUGUUAACCGCAAGGAGACAGGCGCCGAAGGUAUGGCUGGUGAUUGGGAUGAAGUCGUAACAAGGUAGCCGUAGGGGAACCUGCGGCUGGAUCACCUCCUUU